AUUAGUUUCUCCUUCCCUGUGUGAGCUGUCGGGUCUCCUUUGGUUUUCAGGUGUGACACAGAGAGAGGAGCCAGAUGUGACAUGCUUCCUGGGGUUCCUGGCCUCAUAAACCUGUGGGACAACGAGCCACAUUCGUCUGGGUGUCUCCAGCUGGGGCUCCACCAGUGCCUGCAGCGUCUCCAGAGCCUUCCUCUCACCGAGUCCUCCCCAGGCACGUCCUGGAGGCCCUGAGACGUCUCCCGGAGCUUGUGUGAUGCCUGCUCGGGUCCUCCCACUCUCCCCCCAAGCAUGGGCAAGCAUCCCCCGCUCCACCGGAGACCAGCUCCUGAUCAGGCUGCGCCGGGUCAACGGGCUCAGGGACUUCCUCCUUUGACUUCAGUGCUAAGAGCUCUUCAGGCUGAUUCCAUCUCCUCCAUCUCCCCCGGGGACCAUUUCCAGGCCACCUCAUCAUCCCGGUGACGCACUUCUGAAGACUCCGGAAGGCCGUAAUUAAAUCCAGCUUGUGAUUCCUUUAAGGAGGCCUGAGCGGAGGCUAAUUUCUCCUCAGCAUCAUCUGAACCACUGGGCGUCUCGUCACCUAGGAGCACUGCCCACAGCUCACAUGGCCCACCCUGCAGAGGCCCUGCCUGUCCACAGCGGGAGUGGGGCCUGGACUACUCACAGUGGGGUCCUGGUGGCUCUCUAAAUGAGGGUCGUGGGGACACACAGGAGCUGCUUUUGCAGGGCCAGUUGUCCCUUCAUGUGCACUGAAGAUUGGGAGUGGGCGGGGCUGUGUUGUCCCCCUAGGAAGGCCGGGAGGUCGUGGCCUGGUGGGCCACUGAGACCAGGAUCCUGCUGGCUUCCUUGGCAGAGCACGAGAUGCUCCCGAGUUCAGGAAACGGUGUGGAGCUGCUCAUGGUGCUGGAGGCCAAGGGAGGGUGGGGGCAGGUGCAGCUUGGGGGCCUCUUCUCACAGCUGUGCAGAUAAGCACCAACAGGAGCUGCCACCCCACGUCAGUAAAGCCGAGGGGGUGGCCAAGAUCCUGGUACUCAGCUUGCAUCAACCCUUUUGAAAAUCUCAUGAACACUGUGGACCACACAUCCAAGAUUUUGCCCACAAUUUUAGGGGUCUGGAUGAACUUCCGGGGCCCCGUGGACCUAGAUCUGGUUGGCUGGCCUCCCUGGUUCCCUCUUUCUUUGUCCUUCCAUGCACUGACCACGCAGCGCAGACUGGGGUGGGCAGUGGUCAUCUCCCUCCUUCUGCCCCAGCUCCCAAUAACAGGGCCCUCCAAGGACCCUGGGCUCAGCCAGACAAG
ensembl:lncRNA